UGGCUCAGAACGAACGCUGGCGGCGCGUUUAAGCAUGCAAGUCGAGCGGCAAGGGCCUUCGGGCCCCUAGAGCGGCGGACGGGUGAGUAACACGUGGACAAUCUGCCCCCCGGCCCGGGAUAGCCCAGGGAAACCUGGAUUAAUACCGGAUGAGACGGGACCCGCGAUGGCGGGACCCGGGAAAGGCGCUGCGGCGCCGCCGGGGGAUGAGUCUGCGUCCCAUUAGCUAGACGGCGGGGUAACGGCCCACCGUGGCGACGAUGGGUAGCCGGCCUGAGAGGGUGGACGGCCACAUUGGAACUGAGACACGGUCCAGACUCCUACGGGAGGCAGCAGCUAAGAAUCUUCCGCAAUGGGCGAAAGCCUGACGGAAGCGACGCCGCGUGAACGAAGAAGGCCGUGAGGUUGUAAAGUUCUUUUCGGGAGGGGGAACAACCGUGGCAGGGAAUGGCCGCGGGAUGACGUGAAUCCCGGAAUAAGCCCCGGCUAACUACGUGCCAGCCGCGGC
rnacentral:rRNA from 1 species